UACGUAGGGGGCAAGCGUUGUCCGGAUUUAUUGGGCGUAAAGAGCGUGUAGGCGGCCUUACAGGUCAGCUGUGAAAACUCGAGGCUCAACCUCGAGACGUCGGUUGAAACCGUAUGGCUAGAGUCCGGAAGAGGAGAGUGGAAUUCCCGGUGUAGCGGUGAAAUGCGUAGAUAUCUGGAGGAACACCGGUGGCGAAGGCGGCAUCCUGGACCAACACUGACGCUGAUGAGCGAAAGCCAGGGGAGCAAACGGG
rnacentral:rRNA from 1 species